CCUGGGCAACAGAGCAAGAGUCUGUCAAAAUAAAAAAGAAGAAAAAAAGAAGAAAGAUUUUAAUUAUUUUUAUCAACAAUUAUACAUUUUCUCUACUGUUAUGAAUUGCCACAACUUGGAGGCUUAGAACAACACAAAUUAGUACUCUCACAGUCCUGAAGGCUACAGCUCUGCAAUCAAGAUAUCAGCAAGGCCAUCAUUCCACUAAGGCUCUAAGGAAGAAUCCAUUUUUGCCUCUUCCUGCUUCUGGGAUGCAUCCACUUUAUUAGACGGCAAACUAGAAAAUGCUUCCUACAGUCGCCACAUAAAAAGAAUUAUCAUCAUGCCAAACAAAUUAUCAUCGGUGCCAAUGAUGUGAGAAUUGAGCAGAAAGAGCAAUGCAACAGGUUUUCUUUUCUGGCCAUGCCAAGGUGGAAGGUGAUCUUAAUUGAAGAAAGAAUGCUCAAAGUAGGUAUGUGCAGUUUCAGAAGUACAGCUAUAUAAUAUCCGCUAUGCCUUGUCCAGUAACCCUCUCCUUAAUCCUGGCUCUCACGUGGAUUGUCCUUCCUAUAUUAUAAUCCUCCACAUGUCUUUCCUUUACAGAGUUAAUCCCGAAUUACGUAUUUCAAAUAUCUAAUAUAGUUGUGUUAGAAAAAGAAAUUCUCAAGUUCUGAGAUUAUGGAAUAUCCUGAAAGAAUGCUAAAGCAACUAUACCCCUUAAAGAAAGAUCAUUAUCAACUUGUAGAAAACUAAUCCUAUAGUGUGGUGAGAAUUUUUGGCAGUCAUAUUGCACCACUCUCAUACUUUUAACAAUGCAUUUGUGAGAACCACCUACAAUAAAAAUAUGGCAAUAAGAUUAGCAACUAGUGUUAUUUGUUAUAUUUUCGGCAAUGCUAUGUCUUAUCAACAAAUACUUACCAGCAUGUACAUUGCUGCUCAGAAACACAUUUGAUGAUGGAUCAGAAGUUUCCUCCUAUUUAAUGUGGUGAUAAAAAUAACUUCUAAGUAAUUCAGUUCAUAGAACCAUGAAGGACUGGGUUUGAGAUUAUGCUUUGAAUACCAUAAAGUGAUGAACACAGAGACUGAGAAAAAAAGAGGAGGAGAAGGAGUGGAAGGAUAAAUGUAUGUAAGAAAAAAAGAAGCAAAUAAAUAUUAUCUUUUUUUCUGGCAAGUAAGUGGACGUAGCCUUGGGACCCAAGAGGGUGGCACCAGGCCAGUUUUAUACUCAUUCUGGACAUGUGCAGCAGAUGGCAUGGCAGCUACUCCAUUUACACUGCAAUGAUCCCAUUAUCAUUUUAUUUUUCUUGGCACUGGGAUAACGUAUAAGGGUGGGGCAGUAGGAGACACUGAAUUCACAUAUCAUUGAAAACCAAAAUAUUAGAAGAGCUUAAGUUUUAAAGAAUGCUGGCAAAUGUUUAAGCGAUCAGCACUGCUGGUUUACUAUAAACAUAAUGGACUACACGUUGAGUACCUUGACAUAUGAGUAAAUUCAUAUAGUACAAAUCAUUCAACACACAUAUCUUGAGAACAAGUGAGAAGACAGCCAUCUGCAAACCAGAGAGAAAGUCCUCAUAAGGAACUGAAUCAAACUUCACCUUGAUCUUGGGCUUCCCAGCCUUUGCAACUGUGAGAAAUAAAUGUGUCUUUAUGCC
rnacentral:lncRNA from 10 species